rnacentral:rRNA from 1 species
ACGGAGGGUGCGAGUGUUAUUCGGAUUUACUGGGCGUAAAGAGCACGUAGGCGGAUUGGCAAGUCAGAUGUGAAAGCCCGGAGCUUAACUCCGGAACUGCAUUUGAUACUGCUAGUCUUGAGUGUGGUAGAGGGGGGUGGAAUUCCCGGUGUAGAGGUGAAGUGCGUAGAUAUCGGAAGGAACGCCAGAGGCUAAGGCGACCCCCUGGGCCAGAACUGACGCUGAGGUGCGAAAGCGUGUGGAGCAAAGAG